AUUGAACGCUGGCGGCAUGCCUUACACAUGCAAGUCGAACGGCAGCGGGGACUUCGGUCCGCCGGCGAGUGGCGAACGGGUGAGUAAUGUAUCGGAACGUACCAUUGAGUGGGGGAUAACGUAGCGAAAGUUACGCUAAUACCGCAUAUUCUCUCCGGAGGAAAGCAGGGGACCGCAAGGCCCUGCGCUCUUUGAGCGGCCGAUAUCAGAUUAGCUAGUUGGUGGGGUAAAAGCUCACCAAGGCGACGAUCUGUAGCGGGUCUGAGAGGAUGAUCCGCCACACUGGAACUGGGACACGGUCCAGACUCCUACGGGAGGCAGCAGUGGGGAAUUUUGGACAAUGGGGGCAACCCUGAUCCAGCCAUGCCGCGUGAGUGAAGAAGGCCUUCGGGUUGUAAAGCUCUUUCGGCCGGGAAAAAAUCGCAUGGGUUAAUACCCUGUGUGGAUGAUGGUACCGGAAUAAGAAGCACCGGCUAACUACGUGCCAGCAGCCGCCGUAA
rnacentral:rRNA from 1 species